rnacentral:tRNA from 1 species
CAGUUGGUUAGAAUACCGGCCUGUCACGCCGGGGGUCGCGGGUUCGAGUCCCGUCCACUCCGCCA